ACGGCUACCUUCACUGCCACC
rnacentral:miRNA from 1 species